rnacentral:lncRNA from 1 species
GCAUUCAUAAAAUUGGUAAGUUUCUCAUGAAAUCGCAACAAUCUUCUAGGAUUUACCAUCUUCUUUUGGACUCUUUUCAUAUACCUUUCUAGCAUUAGGAUCAAUUUAUCAAAUUCAGAGUCGGUGGUUAAUUAGCAGAUACUACUGAUUAUUCCUAGAUUGUUCUUAGAUUGAUUUAUAACUCUCAACAUGACAGAUACUACUGAUAAUUCUCAAACUUCUAAUCGAGGUUAUUAAGGCGCAUUUCUCCUGUGAUUUUCGUUCUAUUAUGUUAACUUGAUUAAAUUUCCUGCCUUUAAAAUGGUUGUAACCUUUUCUUUUAUUAUUAUGUAUUGAAGUUUGUUGUGGUUGCUGAUGAUUGGUUUGGGAAGUGGUAGGUAGGAUUUAUUUAUGAAUUUAAUAUUUCUCUGCUUACGUUAUUGGUAGUGGGUUGUUGAAAUUGAUCAAUUUGGGCAUACAAUAUUAGCAUCUGCUUUGUUGUUUUAUUUUUAUGUCACUUUGUAUUUGCAGUUUCUAUUAAAUUUCAGUUGUUGGUUAUUCUGCUAGUGAAUUUUGCUUUUACUGUUCUGUUCUAUCCACCAGAGAGGACAAAGCCUUGGAAGUGUGGCACUAGAUAACCACAAGCUCAUUAUUCAUGAAGGACUUGCAAUGUUGGAUCCCUCAAGGAGAUGGCAUUCUGCUUUUCAGUAAGAAUAUGGAUAUUAGUACUAUUUAUAACUCCAUGAGAAAUAUGACUUUUGUAGCAUGAUCAUUAUCCAAAUAUGGUUAGUGAAUUCGAGUUGAUUGUGGUUCUAAACUUUGCAGGCCGGUCUAAAUAAAUAUGUAGUUUGUAUUACUUAUCACUAAAUCAACAUACUAGCAUGACUAUUAGCACUGAAAUAUACUACUAACAAGAUUACCGUGCAUGUGCUCAAAAUGACUUGCACUAGGAGCAUACUCAAGGGUCGUCAUCCUUGUAAAAGGUUAUCUCUUCACAAUAUCAAUGAGAUCAAGAAAAUUCUUGUGGUUCACUUGUGAAAUAUAUCAAUCUACGCAAAUAAUUUUAACAGAAUAUCAUGUAAACUCUACAACUAAAAUGUAAUGCUUAUUGUUAAAGGGAGUAGGAAAAGGAAAACGACAAAGAGAACUUUUCCUUUUGUGUUGCAUUUAUUUUAACUGAACAGACGUAUGUGUGUUCAAGCACCUUUUGCAUUUUCUUACUUUAUGGAUCACCUGUUUAUAUUUGUGGCUUAUGUUUCUGGAAGACUUGAAGUUUCUUAUUGUUUUUUUAUUUUUGAUAAGUUCGUUCAUUGUUCUUCUUUGUUUGUAUGAUGGAAGUUCUUAAGCUGCACAGGUUCUAAUGUUCCAUGUGAUAUCAUUUUCCAUAUAAUUUCUAUAGAAGUUGCCUGCUAACUGAUUUUUUUUACUUAAUCUUUUUUAACUUCUAAUUUAUGCCUUUAUUGGAUUUAUGUUUAGGUUGAUAUGCAAAAAUUAGAGUCAAGAAGAGGACAGUCUUAUGCAAAGGCUGUUGCCAUAAAGAUUCCAGUUGCCUCUUUGUACGGAGGCUCACUAAGUGAACUGUUGUGAAUCAGUGUUCUUGUAGUCGACAUUGGUCUUUAUUUAUAGUUAGCAUUUAGCUUGUUCUGAAGAUGAAUAAGGAUAAAAAAUUAUAUUCUAUGAGAACCAUUAUCGAAUGAUGGUGUAAGAUUUAUAAAAAU